rnacentral:rRNA from 1 species
UACGUAGGGUGCAAGCGUUAUCCGGAAUUAUUGGGCGUAAAGAGCUCGUAGGCGGUUUGUCGCGUCUGCUGUGAAAACUGGAGGCUCAACCUCCAGCCUGCAGUGGGUACGGGCAGACUAGAGUGCGGUAGGGGAGAUUGGAAUUCCUGGUGUAGCGGUGAAAUCGUAGAUAUCUGGAGGAACACCGGUGGCGAAGGCGG